UACAACGCCCAAGCCAUAG
rnacentral:misc_RNA from 1 species